AGUGAACGCUGGCGGUAGGCCUAACACAUGCCAGUCGAACGGCAGCACAGUAAGAGCUUGCUCUUACGGGUGGCGAGUGGCGGACGGGUGAGGAAUACAUCGGAAUCUACUUUUUCGUGGGGGAUAACGUAGGGAAACUUACGCUAAUACCGCAUACGACCUACGGGUGAAAGCAGGGGAUCUUCGGACCUUGCGCGAUUGAAUGAGCCGAUGUCGGAUUAGCUAGUUGGCGGGGUAAAGGCCCACCAAGGCGACGAUCCGUAGCUGGUCUGAGAGGAUGAUCAGCCACACUGGAACUGAGACACGGUCCAGACUCCUACGGGAGGCAGCAGUGGGGAAUAUUGGACAAUGGGCGCAAGCCUGAUCCAGCCUUACCGCGUGGGUGAAGAAGGCCUUCGGGUUGUAAAGCCCUUUUGUUGGGAAAGAAAAGCAGCAGGUUAAUACCCCGCUGUUCUGACGGUACCCAAAGAAUAAGCACCGGCUAACUUCGUG
rnacentral:rRNA from 1 species